CCCACAGGCCGUAAACCCAAGGUUUCCAGGGGAAGGUUCGUCCGCCCUGGGUUAGUCGGGACCUAAGCUGAGGCCGAAAGGCGUAGGUGAUGGACAACAGGUUGAUAUUCCUGUACUAUCGAUAACCGUUUGAGAGAAGGGAUGACACAGUAGGAUAAGCUAAGCACACUGUUGGUUAUGUGUGCCCAAGCAUUGAGGCAGUCAAAGUAGG
rnacentral:rRNA from 1 species